UACGUAGGGACCGAGCGUUGUCCGGAAUCAUUGGGCGUAAAGAGCGUGUAGGCGGCCACUUAAGUCCUGCGUGAAAUCUUGCGGCUCAACCGCAAGCGGUCGUGGGAAACUGGGUGGCUAGAGUGCGGGAGAGGAGAGUGGAAUUCCUGGUGUAGCGGUGGAAUGCGCAGAUAUCAGGAAGAACACCGGUGGCGAAGGCGGUUCUCUGGGCAUGUCCUGACGCUGAGGAGCGAAAGUGUGGGGAGCGAACAGG
rnacentral:rRNA from 1 species